rnacentral:lncRNA from 1 species
AGCUAACUAAGGAAAAGGUUUAUGAAGAUGCAUACAAGACCUGUUUUCCAGCACCCUUGCUAAAGUCAUCACUUUCUCUUCCCUAUGGUAGGAAUCCAAUGGGAGAUUUUAGUUCUUUGGACCAUAUUCCUUGAGCAUUUUUUGUUAAUCUGAAGCAAGUAUUUUUCUCUCCUCUUUGAAGUAUACUAGCAUUUCUUCCAAGGAGAAUCUAGUUCCUGAUUUUCCUAUUGACUAUUAAUUUGAAUGCAAUGGUUUCCUCUUCAAGUGAGGUUGUCUGGAGCAACCAGCAGCUACAGAGCUGCAUCUGAAACACUGGCUCUAGCAUCCCCUAUGAGCCCAACUGCAGAGAAGGGGGCUGUAGCCCUUGAAGCCAUGUGAAAUAAGACCUGAAGUAACCGCGAUGCCAGUGUUUGGCCACCCUUGGCUGAAAUAACAUAUUUACCCAGCAACAAAGCUUUCCCAUCCAUUUUUAUUUAAGAGAGAUUUUAAAUAAAAUCUAGUAAAUGAAACUGUAAUGUAUCCAGUGCAACAACUGUCAAAGAACAGCCAUUUAACUUCUUUGGA